GACUGGUUGCGGAUCUUGGAAUUUCAUGGACUUGGGUAUGACUACGAAUGAUUGUAGUUGAGGCGAGUCAAGGUUCAAGAAGUCUACAGGAAUACAAGCUUGGAGAGGACUGGUUGGGGCUCUUGGAUUUUCAUGGACUUGGGGAUGACUAUGAAUGAUUGUAGUUGAGAUAGGUCAAGGUACAACAAGCCCUGAUCAGGAUACGCUGAAAACUACCGACGAGUGUCAAAUCACUUCCGUCAGGGAGAAACUUAAUGAACGAACUCUCCGUGCUUACACCAACGCAUCACAUUGAUACAGAGCAGGAUGAUGCUCUUGUUUCAGGAAGUGUAAUGUAAUGUAAUGCAACGCUACAAUUUGUUAGGCAAAAUGUUUGUUCAAAAUUGUGAUUUAUCAACAUGUUUGAAGAACACCUGUAUGUAGAUCACCUGUAUGUAUUUGACAAUGCAAUACCACACAUAAUCUUGCACUGUGGCCCAGUGUGUUUUGUACCUUUGAAACUAAUGUUAUUUAAACCUUUCAAGCCUGAAUGCUCUUGGGACCCUUUUCCCGUUCUCAAAUAGUCUAUGUACUAUUUGAAUUAAAUUAGCUGCUAAAGUCAAUCGAUAAAUUUAUCAUUCAAUACAUUGUCAUCUUCCUUAGCCCCGUCUAGGCAUAUAAAUCUUCUAUCAAUUUCAGUUGUUUUUUAAUAUUUUUGUCACGAUAUCUUUUUGAAUUUACAGUUUUUUUCCUUUAGUGGUACAUGUUGGUCAUUUUAGCUAGAUUAGAGGUGGGUUAGGCCUACAAGGUUCUGAUAGCAGUUUAUUUCAUGACUGGCAGUUAGUGCCGUCAUCUGUAGGCACUUCUAGUGUAGCCGUUAGUGAUAGGAUGGAGACCAGCGAGUGUAGUAGGUGUAGGCGCAACGUAUCUAAGGUUAGACACUCACUGGUCUUUAUCUCCAGGAAGAUGACACACU